AGGGAGCUCUAGUGGAGAGACAAGAUUCGUGCAUGAAAUAAUUACGACUGUUGUAGAAAAAAGAAAUGCCUGUAGGUCUCCCUUCCUCCCUCCUUCUCUCUGUCUACCUCAGCAUUUCCGGGGCUCACUCUGCUCUGGGUACUGUGUAAAGGACUCCACAGCCAUCAACUUCCCAUCAUCCUUGCUGCAUCUUUGAAAGAGCUGAGAUUUCUUUACAUCACAGUGGUUCAAGGAGAAAAACACAGCCAGAUCCUUCCUCAUCUCAACAUAAAUUAAAACACAGAGGCAGUCAGCGCCACAGUCCACACUCGUAACUGUUACACUCACCUGGAAAUAAAAGUAUUUUUGUGCAGGGACUACAAAGACUAAGCCCGGCCGCACUCCGAGUCUUUCCUCCUCACAGAUAGGGGCUGAGGCUCAGAGAGGGCAAGUGACCUGCCCAAACUCACACAGCCGUGACUCAUUGCUCAGGUGAGGAAACUGAGGCUCAGAGAGAGUCCGUGUCAUGUCCAAGGUCACUCCGCUAUUAAUUGUUUUCUUGGCACUCUCUCCCUUCUCACCUGUGACUAUCUGAGUGUCCCCAGAGGCAAGGAACUAUGUGAGCCACUCCAGUAGUCCCAGCCCCAAGGCCAGGCACAGUGGACAUUUAUUGCUGAAUGAGUGAAUCAAGAGAGAGGAUCAGAAAGCUGCAGAGGAUGGUAGAUCUGCAAAAUUCUCCCUGGGUGAGGCCCAGGCUCAGGUUCCAGAACAGCUCCAUCUGUCUCCCACUCACUGAGAUUGAAGUAAUGUCCUACAGUUGGACAGACCUGAAAUUGAGCUAUGUGAUCUUGGACGUGCCUUUUGCCUUCCGCAGUGACCGUGAGGCCUCUCAAGCCACGUGGAACUAUGGAGUCUCAAUAUGUUGCCCAGGCUGGAGUGCGGCGGUGCCAACAUAGCUAAUUGCAGCCUUGAACACCCAGGCUCAAAUGAUCCUCCCACCUCAGCCUCCCAAGUAGCUGGGACUACAGGUGCUCCAUUAAAUCAGGAACCUUGUUCUUUCUGGUAUCUGGGGUGUCCCACCGCUACCCCCAUGUGAGUGCCUGGCACAUAUAGAUACUUGAUACCUGCUUGUUGAAUAAAUGAAUAAGUGCAACUUGACUGGAAGAUGAGAGGCACAGCUGAGUCCUGGAGCAGACUGAGCCACCUAAGAGGGGAGGAACCGCUGCAGAGAAACUGUGUUAAGCCUUUUUGAAGUUCCAGGGGGAGAACAAGAGAGCGGAGGCUCCUGGUGGCUGGUGACAGGAGGUCUCUUCUAAGUGCCUUUCACCUAACAGCAUCCUGCCCUGGAGGAGACUUCCAAGCAUGAUUGGAGCUCCCAAUCCGAUGGGGGAGACAGGACACACAUACGUGUAAUAAGAGUGUCCCCUGUGAAGCUGCUGCUGAGAGAAGCUCUGGGAAGUUGUUCCUGAGAGUGGCUUCCCAUGGAGUUUGGAGGAGGAGAGGGUACCAACAGGUGGAGAGGAGGAGGAGUGGGCCAAGCAGGGAAGGACCAAGAGGUCACCUUCUUCUUUCCAGCCCCAGAUGUCUUUGGCAGGAGCUGGCCCCGGCCUGGAAGGCAGUGCACGCUCACAGCGCCCUCUGCUGAACGGUAUCAGAACAGCAGGCUUGGAGGGCAAAGGCAAUUCCUACAAAGGAUCCCCGGUUUCCUACCCAUGGGGAGCCCCAGAUUCUAAGGCCAGGAAUGAAGGGUAGAUGGAGCCUGGGUCAGCACCCGAGAGGGCUCAUAUGUGCAACCUGGAGGAUCUUGGAGCUUGGGAGUAGCGUAGGGGGUGGUUAGUUCAGUUCAGGAUGGCUGAGGAAGCCGUUUUAAACAACUUUCCCCGAGAUCUUACUGAGGGCUCAGGAACUGGGCAUGGCCACCAUCCUGGGUAUCCAGGGCCCCUCCUUCCCCCAGGCUAGGAGAGGAACCCCUCCCAGCAGAUGCCUUCCCAGACUACCCUUGUCUCACUUAUCAUAGAGGACAUGUACCGCCUUCCUCCUCCCAGGCCCUGGAUCUGGGGUUGCUGGACUUGGUGCGUGGGUGGUCUGGAUGCUUCUAAGAUGAAUUCAUAAUUGGGAGAUUCUAGGUGAUGCUCAGAUGGAAAUGAGGGCAACUGCUGCUUGAUGGCAGAACAACAGAGCUUGGCAGAGCUAGGCUGGACUCGACUUGGCAUUUUCUCUCCGUUUCAGACCAGGAUACGGAUUAAUUGAGCCCAGGGGAGCUCAGAUUUCCCGGGGCGGGGGCAAACAGUGCCUUGGAGGGAAUUGGGUACUGUGGGACAGAGGACCCAGGAGACCCAGAAUCCUGAACUGUCGGGCUGACUUCAUCUCCUACAGAGUUCUUUAACCCAGGAGCCCCGAAAACCUGCUUUCCUCAAUGUGUUCUUCACCCGUGAGGGACUAGGAAAUCCUAAUUGCCAUCCCAGCAGGACACACACACACACACACACACACACACACACACAACUGGCCUUUACAGGAUGCACAGUGGAGGAAAAGAACAAAGAAGCACGUGUCUUACAAAGGGAGAGGCAGUGCCAGGCUCAUAGAAGUCAGUGAGGUACUACAAAGGGGACGUCAGGUCCCCCCAGCAGCCUACAGCCAUGGUGAGGGCCAGGGAGAGGGCUUGUCUAUCACAGUGACAGCCCAUUAUCCAGCUGAACAUCACCUAGGAGGGCCAUGCGUGUGAACAGGGUUUCUGUUUACCAUGUCAGCUUCAGCCUGGGAGCUCCUCCAAUUUUUCCCAUUAGGAGCCCUUAGCACACCGGUGCAAUGUUUCUGGCUUAUUGGGAAUUCCUAUUAUAGUCCAUUGUCCUCCCUCAAAUCUGAAAAGGGAUGAUUGAUUUUGAGGAAACAAGGCAAGUUGCUGAAGGAUUUCUAAAUGAGCCUUAUGUUUGAUUUUGGGGUCAGUCUGUGUGGGUUCCAAGACAAGAUGGUGUGGCUGGUAAUGAUUUUCAAAUAAAUAUAUUUUGUGAUCACGAA
rnacentral:lncRNA from 1 species